rnacentral:rRNA from 1 species
CAUUUUUAGAAAACAUUAAAAACUAUGCCUGCUCAAUGAAUUUUAAAUAGCCGCAAAUUUUGUGCUAAGGUAGCAUAAUCAAUUGCCUUUUAAUUUAAGGAUAGAAUGAAAGGCCAAACGAAUAAAAAACUUUAUUUGUUUUUUUUAAUAAAAUUAUUUUUCAAGUAAAAAACCUUGAAAUUUAAAAAAAGACGACAAGACCCUGAUGAACUUUACUAUAGUUAAGCUGGGGAAGCUGAAAAACAAUAUCUUUUACAACUUUUUAAAAAAGAACCUUAUUGAUAUUUGAACAAGUUACCACAGGGAUAACAGCAUAAUAAAUUUUUAAAGCCCAUAUUUAAAAAUUUGUUUAUGACCUCGAUGUUGAAUUAAUUUAACCUUUUUGAAGCAAAAUACAAAAAAGGAAGACUGUUCGUCUAAUAAAAAAUU